GAUGAACGCUGGCGGCGUGCCUAAUACAUGCAAGUCGAGCGAACAGACGAGGAGCUUGCUCCUUUGACGUUAGCGGCGGACGGGUGAGUAACACGUAGGUAACCUACCUAUAAGACUGGGAUAACUUCGGGAAACCGGAGCUAAUACCGGAUAAUAUUUCGAACCGCAUGGUUCGAUAGUGAAAGACGGCUUUGCUAUCACUUAUAGAUGGACCUGCGCCGUAUUAGCUAGUUGGUAAGGUAACGGCUUACCCAGGCAACGAUGCGUAGCCGACCUGAGAGGGUGAUCGGCCACACUGGAACUGAGACACGGUCCAGACUCCUACGGGAGGCAGCAGUAGGGAAUCUUCCGCAAUGGGCGAAAGCCUGACGGAGCAACGCCGCGUGAGUGAUGAAGGUCUUCGGAUCGUAAAACUCUGUUAUUAGGGAAGAACAAACGUGUAAGUAACUGUGCACGUCUUGACGGUACCUAAUCAGAAAGCCACGGCUAACUACGUG
rnacentral:rRNA from 1 species